AGAGUUUGAUCCCGGCUCAGAAUCAACGCUGGCGGCGCGCCUAACACAUGCAAGUCGAACGAGAAAGUGGAGCAAUCCAUGAGUAAAGUGGCGUACGGGUGAGUAACACGUGGAUAAUCUGCCCUUUAGUGGGGAAUACCGUUGGGAAACCGACGACAAUACCGCAUAAGCUCGAGAGAGGAAAGCAGCAAUGCGCUGAAGGAGGAGUCCGCGGUCGAUAGCUAGUUGGUAGGGUAAUGGCCUACCAAGGCUGUGAUCGAUAGCCGGCCUGAGAGGGCACACGGCCACACUGGCACUGAAACACGGGCCAGACUCCUACGGGAGGCAGCAGUGGGGAAUCUUGCACAAUGGGGGAAACCCUGAUGCAGCGACGCCGCGUGAGCGAUGGAGCCCUUCGGGGUGUAAAGCUCUUUCGGCAGGGAAGAUUAUGACGGUACCUGCAGAAGCAGCUGCGGCUAACUACGUGCCAGCAGCCGCGGUAAUACGUAGGCAGCAAGCGUUGUUCGGAGUUACUGGGCGUAAAGGGUGCGUAGGCGGCUCGAUAAGUAUGGUGUGAAAUCUCCCGGCUUAACUGGGAGGGUGCGCUAUAGACUGCCGGGCUAGAGUGUGGGAGAGGAAAGUGGAAUUCCUGGUGUAGCGGUGAAAUGCGUAGAUAUCAGGAGGAACACCGGUGGUGUAAACGGCUUUCUGGACCAUAACUGACGCUGAGGCACGAAAGCGUGGGUAGCAAACAGGAUUAGAUACCCUGGUAGUCCACGCCCUAAACGAUGCAUAUUUGGUGUGGGUCAUUCAGUUGAUCUGUGCCGGAGCUAACGCGUUAAAUAUGCCGCCUGGGGAGUACAGUCGCAAGGCUGAAACUCAAAGGAAUUGACGGGGGCCCGCACAAGCGGUGGAGCAUGUGGUUUAAUUCGACGCAACGCGAAGAACCUUACCUGGGCUCGAAAUGCUAUGGACCAGCUUAUGAAAGUAGGCCUUCCCGCAAGGGACCGUAGCAUAGGUGCUGCAUGGCUGUCGUCAGCUCGUGUCGUGAGAUGUUGGGUUAAGUCCCGCAACGAGCGCAACCCUUGUCCUGUGUUGCCAUACUGUAAAAAGUGGAACUCGCAGGAGACCGCCAGGGAUAACCUGGAGGAAGGUGGGGAUGACGUCAAGUCCUCAUGGCCUUUAUGUCCAGGGCUACACACGUGCUACAAUGGACGGUACAAAGGGCUGCCAACCCGCGAGGGGGAGCCAAUCCCAAAAAACCGUUCUCAGUUCGGA
rnacentral:rRNA from 1 species